rnacentral:rRNA from 1 species
UACGAAGGGGGCUAGCGUUGCUCGGAAUGACUGGGCGUAAAGGGCGCGCAGGCGGUCAAAUAAGUCAGAUGUGAAAUUCCGGGGCUCAACCCCGGAGCUGCAUUUGAAACUAUUUGACUAGAGUUCAGUUAGGGAAACGGAAUUCCACGUGUAGCGGUGAAAUGCGUAGAUAUGUGGAAGAACACCGGUGGUGAAGACGGUUUCUGGGCUGAGACUG